rnacentral:rRNA from 1 species
CCUACGGGAGGCAGCAGUGAGGAAUAUUGGUCAAUGGGCGCGAGCCUGAACCAGCCAAGUAGCGUGAAGGAUGACUGCCCUACGGGUUGUAAACCUCUUUUAUAUGGGAAUAAAACAGGGUAUGCAUACCCUCUUGUAUGUAUCAUAUGAAUAAGGAUCGGCUAACUCCGUGCCAGCAGCCGCGGUAAUACGGAGGAUCCGAGCGUUAUCCGGAUUUAUUGGGUUUAAAGGGAGCGUAGGUGGAUUGUUAAGUCAGUUGUGAAAGUUUGCGGCUCAACCGUAAAAUUGCAGUUGAAACUGGCAGUCUUGAGUACAGUAGAGGUAGGCGGAAUUCGUGGUGUAGCGGUGAAAUGCUUAGAUAUCACGAAGAACUCCGAUUGCGAAGGCAGCUCACUGGACUGCAACUGACACUGAUGCUCGAAAGUGUGGGUAUCAAACAGGAUUAGAUACCCCAGUAGUC